rnacentral:rRNA from 1 species
AUUGAACGCUGGCGGAAUGCUUUACACAUGCAAGUCGGGCGGCAGCGCGGGGGCAACCCUGGCGGCGAGCGGCGAACGGGUGAGUAAUACAUCGGAACGUACCCUGUCGUGGGGGAUAACGAAUCGAAAGAUUCGCUAAUACCGCAUACGACCUGAGGGUGAAAGCGGGGGAUCGCAAGACCUCGCGCGAUAGGAGCGGCCGAUGUCGGAUUAGCUAGUUGGUGAGGUAAAGGCUCACCAAGGCGACGAUCCGUAGCGGGUCUGAGAAGACGGCCCGCCACACUGGGACUGAGACACGGCCCAGACUCCUACGGGAGGCAGCAGUGGGGAAUUUUGGACAAUGGGGGCAACCCUGAUCCAGCCAUUCCGCGUGAGUGAAGAAGGCCUUCGGGUUGUAAAGCUCUUUCGGCAGGAACGAAACGGCGGGCUCUAACAUAGCCUGUCAAUGACGGUACCUGAAGAAGAAGCACCGGCUAACUACGUGCCAGCCGCCGCAGUAAUAC